GAUGAACGCUGGCGGCGUGCCUAAUACAUGCAAGUCGAGCGAACAGACGAGGAGCUUGCUCCUCUGACGUUAGCGGCGGACGGGUGAGUAACACGUGGAUAACCUACCUAUAAGACUGGGAUAACUUCGGGAAACCGGAGCUAAUACCGGAUAAUAUAUUGAACCGCAUGGUUCAAUAGUGAAAGACGGUUUUGCUGUCACUUAUAGAUGGAUCCGCGCCGCAUUAGCUAGUUGGUAAGGUAACGGCUUACCAAGGCGACGAUGCGUAGCCGACCUGAGAGGGUGAUCGGACACACUGGAACUGAGACACGGUCCAGACUCCUACGGGAGGCAGCAGUAGGGAAUCUUCCGCAAUGGGCGAAAGCCUGACGGAGAAACGCCGCGUGAGUGAUGAAGGUCUUCGGAUCGUAAAACUCUGUUAUUAGGGAAGAACAAAUGUGUAAGUAACUAUGCACGUCUUGACGGUACCUAAUCAGAAAGCCACGGCUAACUACGUG
rnacentral:rRNA from 1 species